rnacentral:rRNA from 1 species
CUACGGGCUGCUACAGUGGGGAAUAUUGCACAAUGGGCGCAAGCCUGAUGCAGCCAUGCCGCGUGUAUGAAGAAGGCCUUCGGGUUGUAAAGUACUUUCAGCGGGGAGGAAGGGAGUAAAGUUAAUACCUUUGCUCAUUGACGUUACCCGCAGAAGAAGCACCGGCUAACUCCGUGCCAGCAGCCGCGGUAAUACGGAGGGGUGCAAGCGUUAAUCGGAAUUACUGGGCGUAAAGCGCACGCAGGCGGUUUGUUAAGUCAGAUGUGAAAUCCCCGGGCUCAACCUGGGAACUGCAUCUGAUACUGGCAAGCUUGAGUCUCGUAGAGGGGGGUAGAAUUCCAGGUGUAGCGGUGAAAUGCGUAGAGAUCUGGAGGAAUACCGGUGGCGAAGGCGGCCCCCUGGACGAAGACUGACGCUCAGGUGCGAAAGCGUGGGGAGCAAACAGGAUUAGAUACCCCUGUAGUC